GACGAACGCUGGCGGCGUGCCUAACACAUGCAAGUCGAGCGAAUGAAGUUCCUUCGGGAAUGGAUUUAGCGGCGGACGGGUGAGUAACACGUGGGCAACCUGCCUCAUAGAGGGGAAUAGCCUCCCGAAAGGGAGAUUAAUACCGCAUAAGAUUGUAGUACCGCAUGAUACAGCAAUUAAAGGAGAAAUCCGCUAUGAGAUGGGCCCGCGGCGCAUUAGCUAGUUGGUGAGGUAAUGGCUCACCAAGGCGACGAUGCGUAGCCGACCUGAGAGGGUGAUCGGCCACAUUGGGACUGAGACACGGCCCAGACUCCUACGGGAGGCAGCAGUGGGGAAUAUUGCACAAUGGGGGAAACCCUGAUGCAGCAACGCCGCGUGAGUGAUGACGGCCUUCGGGUUGUAAAGCUCUGUCUUCAGGGACGAUAAUGACGGUACCUGAGGAGGAAGCCACGGCUAACUACGUG
rnacentral:rRNA from 1 species